GGUGAUAUAGCCAAGUGGUUAAGGCGAAGGUCUGCAAAACCUUUAUCCUCGGUUCAAAUCCGAGUAUCACCU
rnacentral:tRNA from 1 species